CGGCGGACGGGUGAGUAACGCGUGGGUAACUACCCUGUACACACGGAUAACAUACCGAAAGGUAAUGCUAAUACGGGAUAAUAUAUUUGAGAGGCAUCUCUUGAAUAUCAAAGGUGAGCCAGUACAGGAUGGACCCGCGUCUGAUUAGCUAGUUGGUAAGGUAACGGCUUACCAAGGCGACGAUCAGUAGCCGACCUGAGAGGGUGAUCGGCCACAUUGGAACUGAGACACGGUCCAA
rnacentral:rRNA from 1 species